rnacentral:rRNA from 1 species
AACGUAGGAGACAAACGUUAUCCGGAGUUACUGGGCGUAAAGGGCGUGCAGGCGGUUUCUUAAGUUCGUCGUGAAAUCGCCCGGCUUAACCGGGCGGGGUCGAUGGAUACUGGGGAACUAGAGGGCGGUAGAGGCGUGUGGAAUUCCGGGUGUAGUGGUGAAAUGCGUAGAUAUCCGGAGGAACACCAGUGGCGAAGGCGACACGCUGGGCCGUACCUGACGCUAAGACGCGACAGCAUGGGGAGCGAACGGGAUUAGAAACCCUAGUAGU